rnacentral:rRNA from 1 species
GAUGAACGCUGGCGGCGUGCCUAAUACAUGCAAGUCGAGCGAACGGACGAGAAGCUUGCUUCUCUGAUGUUAGCGGCGGACGGGUGAGUAACACGUGGAUAACCUACCUAUAAGACUGGGAUAACUUCGGGAAACCGGAGCUAAUACCGGAUAAUAUUUUGAACCGCAUGGUUCAAAAGUGAAAGACGGUCUUGCUGUCACUUAUAGAUGGAUCCGCGCUGCAUUAGCUAGUUGGUAAGGUAACGGCUUACCAAGGCAACGAUGCAUAGCCGACCUGAGAGGGUGGUCGGCGACACUGGAGCUGGGACACGGUCCAGGCUCCUACGGGAGGCAGCAGUAGGGAAUCUUCCGCAGUGGGCGAAAGCCUGACGGAGCAACGCCGCGUGAGUGAUGAAGGUCUUCGGAUCGUAAAACUCUGUUAUUAGGGAAGAACAUAUGUGUAAGUAACUGUGCACAUCUUGACGGUACCUAAUCAGAAAGCCACGGCUAACUACGUG